AUCUCGGAAGCUAAGCAGGGUCAGGCCUGGUUAGUACUUGGAUGGGAGACUUAUGGAGUUUGGACUUGAGUUAGGAAGGAAAUAAACCUAUAUCUUUAGUUUGAUCUAAGUUACCAUCAAGUUUUUUGGGUUGACUUGUUU
rnacentral:miRNA from 1 species